rnacentral:rRNA from 1 species
UGGGUCCUACGGGGGGCAGCAGUGGGGAAUAUUGCGCAAUGGGGGAAACCCUGACGCAGCAACGCCGCGUGCGGGAUGAAGGCUUUCGGGUUGUAAACCGCUUUCAGCAGGGAUGAAUUCGACAGUACCUGCAGAAGAAGCCCCGGCUAACUACGUGCCAGCAGCAGCGGUAAUACGUAGGGGGCGAGCGUUAUCCGGAUUCAUUGGGCGUAAAGCGCGCGCAGGCGGACUAAUAAGCGGAG